UUAAGUUCAGCGGGUAUCCCUACCUGAUCCGAGGUCAAACCUUUUCAGAAGUUCAUCUAUGAUGAGGCUGGUGAGCCGCACGACAAGCCAUCCAAAGCGAGAGAGAGUCUACUACGCUUGAGACCAUCGUGGCACCGCCACUGAUUUUCAGGCACGUCCAGCCCCCACUUUCAUGGGGGAGGGACGAAGACCCAACACCA
rnacentral:misc_RNA from 1 species